rnacentral:rRNA from 1 species
UAAUACAGAGGGUGCAAGCGUUAAUCGGAGUUACUGGGCGUAAAGGGCGCGUAGGCGGAUUUGCAAGUGAGAUGUGAAAUCCCUGGGCUUAACCUAGGAAUUGCAUUUUAGACUGUGAGUCUGGAGUACAGUAGAGGGUGGUGGAAUUUCCGGUGUAGCGGUGAAAUGCGUAGAGAUCGGAAGGAACAUCAGUGGCGAAGGCGACCACCUGGACUGUAACUGACGCUGAGGCGCGAAAGCGUGGGUAGCAAACAGGAUUAGAUACCCUGGUAGUCCACGCUGUAAACGAUGAGAACUAGAUGUUGGUCUGCGCGAGCGGAUUAGUAUCGAAGCUAACGCGAUAAGUUCUCCGCCUGGGGAGUACGGCCGCAAGGUUA